rnacentral:lncRNA from 1 species
CACAUUGGCAUCCAAAGAAACAACAGGUGGUGAUUUCAGAUUUCCCAGGUGAAGACUGUAAUCAGUUGAUCAAACUGCAAUUGCUUUUUUACUCUGGGACUGAAGCUUGUUGCUGUUGUGAAGAUGAUCAGCAGUUACCCAAGGUCAAAAGAAGAAUCUCAUCAGAAUUAUUUCUUCCUCGUCUGCUCUUUGGACUUGAUGCCCAGAGGCAGAAAACUUUUUUUGUCCAAUGUUUAUCUGAAAUGAUGUUUCAAGCAUAUCAGGAAGACCACUCAUUUUCCAAAGGUCACAUUCAGAAUGAGUGAACCCAUACUACAUUCUUUUCAAGGCAGUUUCCACUAAGGGAAAUGCCCCAGUAUGUGAUAGUGAUGUUUGGAGUCAGACAGAGAUUCCAUACCUACUUGUUAUCAUUUGGGUCUAGGAUUCUCUUAGAAAUACAGUAAUAAAGAUAACAGGUACAAUAACA